UAUACAUGCAAGUCGAGGGAGAUUGUUGGAUUCCUCUGACAUGAAACCGGCGCACCGGUGCGUAACACGUAUGCAACCUACCUUUAACUGGGGUAUAGCUCAGAGAAAUCUGAAUUAAUCCCCCAUAAGACUACGACAUGGCAUCAUGAUGUAGUUAAAGCUCCGGCGGUUAAGGAUGGGCAUGCGGUACAUUAGCUAGUUGGUGAGGUAAUGGCUCACCAAGGCUACGAUGUAUAGGGGGUCUGAGAGGAUGAUCCCCCACACUGGUACUGAGACACGGACCAGACUCCUACGGGAGGCAGCAGUAGGGAAUAUUGGUCAAUGGACGCAAGUCUGAACCAGCCAUGCCGCGUGAAGGAUGAAGGCCCUCUGGGUCGUAAACUUCUUUUAUUAGGGAAGAAAACAUGGGAUGCGUCCCAAACUGACGGUACUUAAUGAAUAAGGAUCGGCUAACUUCGUGCCAGCAGCCGCGGUAAGACGAAGGAUCCAAGCGUUGUCCGGAUUUACUGGGUUUAAAGGGUGCGUAGGCGGAAAAUUAAGUCAGUGGUGAAAGCCCGCAGCUCAACUGUGGAACUGCCAUUGAAACUGAUUUUCUUGAAUAUAGCUGAGGCAGAUGGAAUAUAACAUGUAGCGGUGAAAUGCUUAGAUAUGUUAUAGAACACCGAUUGCGAAGGCAGUCUGCCAAACUAUUAUUGACGCUGAGGCACGAAAGCGUGGGGAGCGAACAGGAUUAGAUACCCUGGUAGUCCACGCCCUAAACGUUGAUUACUCGCUGUUGGCGAUAUACUGUCAGUGGCUAAGCGAAAGCGUUAAGUAAUCCACCUGGGAAGUACGACCGCAAGGUUGAAACUCAAAGGAAUUGACGGGGGCCCGCACCAGCGGAGGAGCAUGUGGGUUAAUUCGAUGAUACGCGAGAAACCUUACCUGGGCUUAAAUGU
rnacentral:rRNA from 1 species